rnacentral:rRNA from 1 species
GACGAACGCUGGCGGCGUGCCUAAUACAUGCAAGUAGAACGCAGUUCCGAACGGGUGAGUAACGCGUCUGUAAAUGCCUCAUAGCGGGGGAACACUAAUGGAAACGAUAGCUAAUACCGCCAACUGUGAGAUGGACCUGCGUUGUAUUAGCUAGGUGGUGAGGUAAAGGUCGACCAAGGCGACGAGACAUAGCCGGGCUGAGAGGGUGAUCGGGCCACAUGGGAACGAGAACAGGCCCAUAUGCUGACGGGAGGCAGAAGUAGGGAAUUUAUGGCAAUUGAGGGAAGUCUGACUGAGCAACUGCGCGGGAGUGAAGAAGGUUCUUGGAUCGGAAAGCUCUGUUGUUAGAGAAGCGGUAACUAACCAGAAAGGGACGGCUAACUACGUGCCAGCAGCCGCGGUAAUAC